rnacentral:rRNA from 1 species
UACGAAGGGGGCUAGCGUUGCUCGGAAUCUCUGGGCGUAAAGCGCACGUAGGCGGCUUUUUAAGUCAGGGGUGAAAUCCUGGAGCUCAACUCCAGAACUGCCUUUGAUACUGGGAAGCUCGAGUCCGGGAGAGGUGAGUGGAACUCCGAGUGUAGAGGUGAAAUUCGUAGAUAUUCGGAAGAACACCAGUGGCGAAGGCGACUUACUGGACAACUGUUGACGCUGAGGUGCGAAAGCGUGGGGAGCAAACAGG